AACGAACGCUGGCGGCAGGCUUAACACAUGCAAGUCGAGCGCCCCGCAAGGGGAGCGGCAGACGGGUGAGUAAUGCGUGGGAAUCUACCUUUUGCUGCGGAAUAACUCAGGGAAACUUGUGCUAAUACCGUAUGUGCCCUUCGGGGGAAAGAUUUAUCGGCAAAGGAUGAGCCCGCGCUGGAUUAGCUAGUUGGUGGGGUAAAGGCCUACCAAGGCGACGAUCCAUAGCUGGUCUGGGAGGAUGAUCAGCCACACUGGGACUGAGACACGGCCCAG
rnacentral:rRNA from 1 species